UGGCUCAGAUUGAACGCUGGCGGCAGGCUUAACACAUGCAAGUCGAGCGGGGAGAUGUAGCUUGCUACAUUACCUAGCGGCGGACGGGUGAGUAAUGCUUAGGAAUCUGCCUAUUAGUGGGGGACAACAUUCCGAAAGGAAUGCUAAUACCGCAUACGCCCUACGGGGGAAAGCAGGGGAUCUUCGGACCUUGCGCUAAUAGAUGAGCCUAAGUCAGAUUAGCUAGUUGGUGGGGUAAAGGCCUACCAAGGCGACGAUCUGUAGCGGGUCUGAGAGGAUGAUCCGCCACACUGGGACUGAGACACGGCCCAGACUCCUACGGGAGGCAGCAGUGGGGAAUAUUGGACAAUGGGCGAAAGCCUGAUCCAGCCAUGCCGCGUGUGUGAAGAAGGCCUUUUGGUUGUAAAGCACUUUAAGCGAGGAGGAGGCUACUUGGAUUAAUACUCUAGGAUAGUGGACGUACUCGCAGAA
rnacentral:rRNA from 1 species